rnacentral:rRNA from 1 species
AUACGGAGGAUGCGAGCGUUAUCCGGAUUUAUUGGGUUUAAAGGGUGCGUAGGCGGAAAAAUAAGUCAGUGGUGAAAACCUUCAGCUUAACUGGAGACUUGCCAUUGAUACUGUUAUUCUUGAGUAUAGUUAAGGUAGGCGGAAUGUGUAAUGUAGCGGUGAAAUGCUUAGAUAUUACACAGAACACCAAUUGCGAAGGCAGCUUACUGAGCUAUAACUGACGCUGAUGCACGAAAGCGUGGGGAGC